UGAGAGGAGAAUCCCCCACACUGGUACUGAGACACGGACCAGACUCCUACGGGAGGCAGCAGUAAGGAAUAUUGGUCAAUGGAGGCAACUCUGAACCAGCCAUGCCGCGUGCAGGAUGACUGCCCUAUGGGUUGUAAACUGCUUUUGUCAGGGAAUAAACCUUUCUACGUGUAGAAAGCUGAAUGUACCUGAAGAAUAAGGAUCGGCUAACUCCGUGCCAGCAGCCGCGGUAAUACGGAGGAUCCAAGCGUUAUCCGGAUUUAUUGGGUUUAAAGGGUGCGUAGGCGGUCCUAUAAGUCAGUGGUGAAAGACGGCAGCUUAACUGUCGCAGUGCCUUUGAUACUGUAGGACUUGAAUCUAUUUGAAGUGGGCGGAAUAAGACAAGUAGCGGUGAAAUGCAUAGAUAUGUCUUAGAACUCCGAUUGCGAAGGCAGCUCACUAAGUUAGUAUUGACGCUGAUGCACGAAAGCGUGGGGAUCAAACAGGAUUAGAUACCCUGGUAGUCCACGCCCUAAACGAUGAUAACUCGAUGUUUGCGAUACACAGUAAGCGUCCAAGCGAAAGCGUUAAGUUAUCCACCUGGGGAGUACGGUCGCAAGAUUGAAACUCAAAGGAAUUGACGGGGGCCCGCACAAGCGGAGGAGCAUGUGGUUUAAUUCGAUGAUACGCGAGGAACCUUACCCGGGCUUGAAAGUUAGUGAAUGAUCCAGAGACGGAUCAGUCCUUCGGGACACGAAACUAGGUGCUGCAUGGCUGUCGUCAGCUCGUGCCGUGAGGUGUUGGGUUAAGUCCCGCAACGAGCGCAACCCCUAUGUUUAGUUGCCAGCACAUUAAGGUGGGGACUCUAAACAGACUGCCAGCGUAAGCUGUGAGGAAGGUGGGGACGACGUCAAGUCAUCAUGGCCCUUACGUCCGGGGCUACACACGUGCUACAAUGGACGGUACAGCGGGCAGCUACAUAGCAAUAUGAUGCUAAUCUCUAAAAGCCGUUCACAGUUCGGAUUGAGGUCUGCAACUCGACCUCAUGAAGUUGGAUUCGCUAGUAAUCGCGUAUCAGCAAUGACGCGGUGAAUACGUUCCCGGGCCUUGUACACACCGCCCGUCAAGCCAUGAAAGUUGGGGGUACCUAAAGCAUGUAACCGCAAGGAGC
rnacentral:rRNA from 1 species